ACACCUUGCCAUCCGUUGAGGGAGCUCCACGUGUCCCGCCACCCCCAAUCCUCAAGCGGAACAGUUACAGAGGUAGCAGCUUUUUCUUCCCCCAUUCGCGCCAUCACUCUCUCUCUCUCUCUCUCUCUCUCUCCCGUUCCGACAUGCCCUCCUCCCUCGUCCUGCUUUCUACCUCGCUCUACUCCUUCUUCUGGUCUUCGCUUCUAUAGUUCGUUGACCAUGACUGGUCGUCUCGCUGUGACGCACGCUAUCUCUCUUGUUUGCCCAUCAACUUUGACUAUGUCUAUCCUGAAGCUUUCUUCACCGCCUUCUCCCUCUUCGUCAUUCUUCGCUACUUCUCCCUCUUCUUCUUCUUCUUCUUCUUCUUCUUCUGAAUAUUUCUUCCCUCCUCUGCCUCUUCGAUCCGCUUCGUACCGGAGUUUUGCUUCUUGUUCUUCUACGGCUUCCAAGGUCAGGGCUGAGGAACGCCUUCUCAUGGAUCACGACUCGCCUAAGAACCUUGCUGCUUUCGUUUCUUCUUCCCGCACUUUCCUCAAUGCUCGCACUGAACAAGAGCUUCUGUCUGGAAUCAGGAAGGAAGCAGAAGGAGGAUUUCUACCUUCUAAUGUUGCUUCAGCUAUGGAAGAUGUGUAUCACAACUACAAAAAUGCAGUUUUUCGAAGUGGGGAUCCCCGAGCAGAUGAGAUUGUAUUAUCAAAUAUGACUACUUUUUUAGACCGCAUAUUUAUGGAUGUUGUGGAUCCUUUUGUCUUUAAAUCACAUCAUAAGGCAAAGCGAGAGCCGUUUGACUACUACCUAUUUGGUCAAAAUUAUAUUCGUCCUUUAAUUGAUUUCAGAAAUUCAUACAUUGGCAACGUUUCCCUUUUCUAUGAAAUGGAAGAGAAACUUAAACAGGGACACAAUAUUAUCCUGAUGUCGAAUCAUCAAACUGAAGCAGAUCCUGCAGUUAUUGCUUUGCUAAUUGAAAAGUCAUUUCCAUAUAUUGCUGAAAACUUGACUUAUGUAGCAGGAGAUAGAGUUUUAACCGACCCUCUAUGUAAACCCUUCAGCAUGGGCAGGAAUUUGAUUUGUGUUUACUCUAAAAAGCACAUGAACGAUGUUCCAGAACUCAUAGAAACGAAAAGAAAAGCAAAUACACGAAGUUUGAAGGAAAUGGCUAUGCUUUUAAGGAGUGGCUCGCAGAUAAUUUGGAUUGCACCAAGUGGUGGCAGAGAUCGACCAGAUCCCCUCAAAGGAGAAUGGAUUCCGGCACCCUUUGAUGCUUCUUCAGUAGAUAACAUGAGAAGGCUUGUUGAAAAUUCGGGUGUACCGGGUCAUAUGUAUCCUUUGGCAUUAUUAUGUUAUGAUAUAAUGCCCCCUCCUCCUCAGGUAGAAAAAGAGAUAGGAGAGAAAAGAGUUAUCUCCUUCCAUGGGGUUGGAUUAUCAGUGGCUCCAGAGAUAAGCUUCUCUGAAACUGCUGGUGCUUGUGAAAGUCCCGAAAUGGUUAGUUGAAUUUGACUAGUCACAUUUAUUACUUUGUCAUUACACUUACUUUCUUUUUGACAAAUCAACGAUUACCAUUCUAUCCAAUUCAUGAGCGCUCAAGAAUGAGUAUGGCUCCAUUUCUAAGUGACUUGCUUGUUGCAGAUAAUGUAAAUCUCUUAACAUCCUUUCCUCUAGCAUUAGUUGGCACCGGCAGUCAUGUUGGUACACAUAUCUCACAACUAUUCAUAUUUGUAUAUCACAAAUUUUUUGUGUUUGCCCCCCCUUGUUUACAAACUCCGGCUAUCUUGUGAAAAACAAGAAAGGUUUUAGGCUAAGAUUGCAAGUGACCGCAUCUGUCUGGUUGAGGCUAAAGAGGCAUACACACAAGCCCUGUAUAAUUCUGUGACUGAGCAAUAUAAUGUAUUAAAGUCUGCUGUGCACGGUCAACAAGGAUUAGAAGCAUCAACUCCAAACGUCUCUCUUUCCCAGUCAUAGAAUCAGUUGC